AGUUCUCAGAAGAGAAUUCAUGUGUUUAAAAACCUUCUCCCUAUUCUCCCUACUGGUUGCUGCCAUUCCCACAGGUGCAUCUUCACCUGGACUAAGCUGUAUGUAUGUCCUCCACUGCUUUUCCUGUUGCUCUUAAUUUGCAAGCCCUCGUCAGAAGUACCAGCCCACAUGGCUACCUGAAAAGUGUUAGCAACUCCCAGUGAAGUGCCCGGUGAAUUCUUGCUCCUAUCCUGAACAGGCUCAGAUCAUCCCAAAAUCACUGCCACUCAAGUUGGCAACUGCCAAGGAACCUCCAGCUGCCUUUUCUCCUCCCUGUAAAACCAGUUCUGCCCCACACAGGCAAACUGGUGGCACAUUAAAGGCGAGGCCUUACACUGUUAAUUGGUUCUAUAGACAAAUAGAAGACUUAAGUUUCUAAAGUAAUAAAAAUGCAUGUUGUAAAACUCCUACAAAACAGAGCAAACAAUCCCAAUAGCUUAUCUUUUGUCAAACCUGAGUUCUCUUCCCAGACAGCGGUGACAAAAGGUACGUAACUUCAUUCUCUCUGCCUCAAUUCCUCCGUCUUUAAAGGGAAGAUAAUAAAAUGCUCUUAUCUUUAUAAAGCACUCCCAGUUUCACUAUUACAAGGAACCACAUGUACCAAAUAUCUACGUUUUGAUACUGCAUCUGAUCACAAUGCUGAAAUUACGUUGCCGAUUCGAUUUCUAGGAACAGCAUCAGCAGACUUUGUGGCUUGAAGUACGUAGCUUUGAGCGGCAACGUGGAAAGGUUACACAGCCUGGUAUGUAUAAUCCCGAUGCCAAAAAAAACCCCAACCCUGCCACAUCAAACUGUUGCUUUGUAUGAGGGUUCUCUAUUUGCUCCACUCCUCUCCAUGCAGGCUUGAGGCAGCCCGAUGAUGCUGUGGGAGCUUGCAUGCAGGUGAGCAGCCCAGUGCAAUGACUGCUCAUAGAUCCAUCUCUGCAAGAGGCUGGCCAACUGGGAGAGACCAAGUUGGAAGAAAUACUGGUGGAGCAGCACCUGCAGUUCUGGUCCAGGUACAUGGAAUCUUUGGUGGCUGCCAGAAGCAGCACCGUGAGGCUUGAAGACCAAGAUGCUCAGCUCACCUCUGUGAGAGACAACACAGAAAGAAAGGUAACUGAAAACUAAGUAUUUAAAAUUGCUUAUACCCAAGAGCAGAACGAGGUGUUUGACAUCCCAAAGGUGUUUGAUACUUUCUCAGAGACUGACAAGCGGCCUCACGGAAUAACCACCAGAAGAGGCCUCAUAGGGACUACUGUCUGUGUGGGAAGUCUUCACGUUGUUGCUUCUCCUUCAGGUUCUGUCAUUACUGUAGUUUUGCUGAUCCUAUUUAGCAGCAACAACUAAAAAAAUCUUGCAAGGAUGAAAGAAAUAUCUGUGAUGUAAGAUCACAGCUUUUCUUCACCACCUUCCUAAAGCUCUUCCUUACUCAAGGCAUGACUGAUUUAGAUGUACUUCACAGUGAAGCAGAAGUCCUGAAAUACUUGGAUUAUCUUUUAAAGCCCUGGCUCUUGUAUUCAUGGACUGCAUGAAUAUCCACCUUCUUACAAUCAUGGAGAAAGUGUAAAAAUGUGGUCUUAGAGAGUCAAAUACCAGACAUUUAUAAUUAUUUUCUUAUCUUCUGCGUUUUUUACACUAGUCUUCUGAUUUUGGAAGCCUUACUUUACAGAACUGCAUGUGGUUGCUGUUGGCAGUACCGUACAGUGCAAAGAAACCUUGCAAAUAUUUGCUGAUUUCCCAGAGAUUUGCUGCUUUCCCAGAGAUUCGCU
rnacentral:lncRNA from 1 species